UUAGAAAGACAGACAUGAGCAUAGAUGCAGGGCAGGGCAGCACGUCAUUUCUGGAACAGAGGCAUAGACCAGACAGUUGGUGCUCAGAGGAAACACGAAACAUUCUUGGGGUCUCCGGAAUAAAGUAUACCCCCAAAGUCUGUUCCUGUUGAAAGAUGAAGGAUCACUUAGCCAAGAAGAACAAGAAAGAGAGCAUGAGUGGGGCCAGAGGUCAAGGGAAAGGAAGAGAAAUCCUCAAGCAAACUCCCUGCUAAGCAUGGAGCUCGACUUGGAGUUUGAUCUCAGGUCCUAGAGAUCACGACCUGAGCACAAAUCAGGUGUCGGACAACUAACUGACUGAGCUACCCAGGUUCUGUUCUCCUUCUAGGAACAGAGAAUUGCACUUACUCCUGCAAAGUUAGGAAUGAAGACGUUAUUUGUUUUGUUGUUAAAAGAUGACCACGAGAAGAGUGUGUCAGUCCUAGGUUGGAGUAUUUAAUUGCUGUCGCAAAGCCUUCAAACUCUUUUCCUCCGUGGACAAUCAUAGAUGCAUACAUCGAAAGGACAGCAUCCUAAGAUGCACUAUAAACGGAAGAAUCUUGCCGGAUGGGAGCCAUCUGCAAAAUAACUCAUCUCUUCAAAGGGCGGCUGGAUUCAAGUGCUAUCAUGUCUUCCAAUGUGCAGUAUAUUUUAGUUAUUGCUUUUAAAUAAUCUUUAGUUUUCUCUUUUGCACAUUGGUGAAGACUUUAAAUAGCAGAUGUCAAAAAUCACUUGAUUCUUUUGCUUAUUGAAUUUCCAGAAAUGCUCAGUAUGAAGAUAUGCUUCUACAGUGUUUGUGUGAAAUAAUGUAAUUCAAUCAUGCUUUCUCUAUAGAUAGCAAUGGUCCACGUAUGAGAAAAAUUCAGAAUGCAUUAUCCAAAAAUUAGCUUCCAUAUAUCUGAUUAUACUUAGCUCUUCUGGAAUAAACAAAAUUUGAUGCCACUGAUGCCGAUGCCUUAAUUCUUACUUUACCUGCUGUGCAUGAAAAAUAGACACUAGAAGGGGAGCACAAACAGCAGUAAUGGUACAAAGAUUUCUUAUUUCAAUAUUUACCUUUUGUGGGCAGAUCUGGGAAUUUUCCUUUUCCUUUAAUGAGAAUUGAAGAUAAGCUGGCUUCACUAUGGCAAUACAAAUGUUAAAAUUAUCACGAAUGCUAUGCCAUAUGUCACUUAGAUAAUAGUAGAAAUAGGUUGUUGAUCAGUAGAUACAUUCUCAUUAGAAUCUCACCAUUUUUAGCAUAGAACAGACGAAUUUUCUUUGGAACAGUUUGUUCUAAGGAUGGUUUUCUUGGCUGUCAUAGGAGGUUUUAGAGUUUCAUGAAUUGUCGCUAUAGCAUUCUAUAUGAAUUGAAUAAAAUGUCUAUUGUGUUUUCCAAGGUGAAUGCUUCCUAACUUUCACAGAUAUUUCAGUAUUUACUUAGUCUAUAUCACAAAUUAAUGCUAACAAAAAAGACAUGACUUACUUCUUAAAUACUUUCCACACACAACUUCACAUUACUAUCUUUUUAUGGAGCGGGUAACCCCCAAAUUCUCAGGUUGUAAAUGGCUUGCUUUCUGGGGCACUGAGAAGAAUGCUUGUUGGUGCUUCCUUACCUGGAGAGAUAAGUCUAUGAUUAUUUACAGGUGUACACUGACUAUUUAACUUUAGAAGUAAGUUUGAAGUAAGGAAGAUAACCUAAGGAAAAUAAAAUGUCUUAUACACAUAGCUAGCUAUGUGUUAACUCUAGCUAACUCAUAGCUAACUCUAACUAGAGUCCCAUGCAGAACUACAAUAUAAAUAGAACCCUAUUUACCUCUUUGUUUUUAUUACUUAACAUGUCAUUGCUAUAUUUAUUUAAAAUUGU